rnacentral:rRNA from 1 species
GGAUCUCUUGGCUCUGGCAUCGAUGAAGAACGCAGCGAAAUGCGAUAAGUAAUGUGAAUUGCAGAAUUCAGUGAAUCAUCGAAUCUUUGAACGCACAUUGCGCCCGCCAGCAUUCUGGCGGGCAUGCCUGUUCGAGC